rnacentral:rRNA from 1 species
AUUGAACGCUGGCGGCAGGCCUAACACAUGCAAGUCGAGCGGGAACUUCGGUUCUAGCGGCGGACGGGUGAGUAAUGCGUAGGAAGCUACCCGAUAGAGGGGGAUACCAGUUGGAAACGACUGUUAAUACCGCAUAAUGUCUACGGACCAAAGUGUGGGACCUUCGGGCCACAUGCUAUCGGAUGCGCCUACGUGGGAUUAGCUAGUUGGUGAGGUAAUGGCUCACCAAGGCGACGAUCCCUAGCUGGUUUGAGAGGAUGAUCAGCCACACUGGAACUGAGACACGGGCCAGACUCAUACGGGGGGCAGAAGUGGGGAAUAUUGGACAAUGGGCGCAAGCCUGAUCCAGCCAUGCCGCGUGUGUGAAGAAGGCCUUCGGGUUGUAAAGCACUUUCAGCGAGGAGGAAGGGUUGUGUGUUAAUAGUACACAGCCUCGACGUUACUCGCAGAAGAAGCACCGGCUAACUCUGUGCCAGCCGCCGCAGUAACAC